AACGAACGCUGGCUGCAUGCCUAACACAUGCAAGUCGAACGAAGGCUUCGGCCUUAGUGGCGCACGGGUGAGUAACGCGUGGGAAACUGCCUAUUGGUGGGGACUAACGACGGGAAACUGUCGCUAAUACCGCAUAAGCCCUUCGGGGGAGGGUUUUAGCGUCGAUAAAUGUGCCCGCGUCCGAUUAGCUAGUUGGUGAGGGAAUGGCUCACCAAGGCGGCGAUCGGUAGCUGGUAUGGGAGGAUGAUCGGCCACACUGGGACUGAGACACGGCCCAGACUCCUACGGGAGGCAGCAGUGGGGAAUAUUGGACAAUGGGCGAAAGCCUGAUCCAGCAAUGCCGCGUGAGUGAUGAAGGCCUUAGGGUUGUAAAGCUCUUUCGGGUGGGACGAUGAUGACGGUACCACCAGAAGAAGCCCCGGCUAACUUCGUGCCAGCCGCCGCGGUAA
rnacentral:rRNA from 1 species